rnacentral:rRNA from 1 species
UUUCCCAUCGCUUAAGCAUAUCAAUAAGCGGAGGAAAAGAAACCAACCGGGAUUGCCUCAGUAACGGCGAGUGAAGCGGCAAGAGCUCAAAUUUGAAAGCUGGCUCCUUCGGAGUCCGCAUUGUAAUUUGCAGAGGAUGCUUUGGGUGCGGCCCCCGUCUAAGUGCCCUGGAACGGGCCGUCAGAGAGGGUGAGAAUCCCGUCUUGGGCGGGGUGUCCGUGCCCGUGUAAAGCUCCUUCGACGAGUCGAGUUGUUUGGGAAUGCAGCUCUAAAUGGGUGGUAAAUUUCAUCUAAAGCUAAAUACUGGCCGGAGACCGAUAGCGCACAAGUAGAGUGAUCGAAAGAUGAAAAGCACUUUGAAAAGAGAGUUAAACAGCACGUGAAAUUGUUGAAAGGGAAGCGCUUGCGACCAGACUCGCCCGCGGGGUUCAGCCGGCAUUCGUGCCGGUGUACUUCCCCGUGGGCGGGCCAGCGUCGGUUUGGGCGGCCGGUCAAAGGCCCCUGGAAUGUAGUGCCCUCCGGGGCACCUUAUAGCCAGGGGUGCAAUGCGGCCAGCCUGGACCGAGGAACGCGCUUCGGCACGGACGCUGGCAUAAUGGUCGUAAACGACCCGUCUUGAAACCCGGGGACCA